rnacentral:rRNA from 1 species
GACGAACGCUGGCGGCGUGCUUAACACAUGCCAGUCGAACGGAAAGGCCCUGCUUUUGUGGGGUGCUCGAGUGGCGAACGGGUGAGUAACACGUGAGUAACCUGCCCUUGACUUUGGGAUAACUUCAGGAAACUGGGGCUAAUACCGGAUAGGAGCUCCUGCUGCAUGGUGGGGGUUGGAAAGUUUCGUCGGUUGGGGAUGGACUCGCGGCUUAUCAGCUUGUUGGUGGGGUAGUGGCUUACCAAGGCUUUGACGGGUAGCCGGCCUGAGAGGGUGACCGGCCACAUUGGGACUGAGAGACGGCCCAGAAUGCUACGGGAGGCAGCAGUGGGGAAUAUUGCACAAUGGGCGGAAGCCUGAUGCAGCAACGCCGCGUGCGGGAUGACGGCCUUCGGGUUGUAAACCGCUUUCGCCUGUGACGAAGCGUGAGUGACGGUAAUGGGUAAAGAAGCACCGGCUAACUACGUG